rnacentral:rRNA from 1 species
UACGAAGGGGGCUAGCGUUGCUCGGAAUUACUGGGCGUAAAGGGCGCGUAGGCGGACAGUUUAGUCAGAGGUGAAAGCCCAGGGCUCAACCUUGGAACUGCCUUUGAUACUGACUGUCUUGAGUUCGGGAGAGGUGAGUGGAAUGCCGAGUGUAGAGGUGAAAUUCGUAGAUAUUCGGCGGAACACCAGUGGCGAAGGCGACUCACUGGCCCGAUACUGACGCUGAGGCGCGAAAGCGUGGGGAGCAAGCAGG